rnacentral:tRNA from 1 species
CGGGGCGUAGCGCAGUCCGGUAGCGCACUUCGUUCGGGACGAAGGGGCCGCUGGUUCAAAUCCAGUCGCCCCGA